AGAUAUUAGUCAAUGGCCUAAAGGCUGAACCAGUAACUUGGAAGAAUGUAAAUGUAUUAAUAAUUAAUACAAUAACGAUUAAUUCGUAUAAAAUUCUAAAUAGAAUAAUGAUAAUGACAAUUUUCUAUUUAUAAGUCUUGACCAAAUUACGUGCCAGCAGUCGCGGUAAUACGUAAAAGACUAGUGUUAGUCAUCUUUAUUAGGUUUAAAGGGUACCUAGACGGUAAAUUAAACUCUUAUUGAGUAUCUUUUUACUAGAGUUUUAUAAGAGAAGGAAGAAUUUCUGGAGUAGUGAUAAAAUACUUUUAUACCAAAAAGACUGAUAACGGCGAAGGCAUCCUUCUAUGUAAAAACUGACGUUGAGGGACGAAGGCUUGGGUAGCAAUAAGGAUUAGAUACCCUAGUAGUCCAAGCAGAAAAUGAUGAAUGUCAUAAACUAGAUAAUUAAUUUAGUAUAUAAAUGAAAGUGUAAGCAUUCCACCUCAAGAGUAAUAUGGCAACAUAUAAACUGAAAUCAUUAGACCGUUUCUGAAACCAGUAGUGAAGUAUGUUAUUUAAUUCAUUAAUCCGCA
rnacentral:rRNA from 1 species